rnacentral:lncRNA from 1 species
CUUACCUCCCACCACAUAAAAUUAGCUCCAGAUGGAGCAGUGAGCUAAACUUAAGACCCCAAAUUUAGCAUAUCCUGGAAGAAAAUACAGGGCUAAGCCUCAUACGCUCAUAUUUGGCAAGAGUAUAUUUAAUAUGACACAAUUGUACACGAGACAAAAAGAUAAGUUGGACGUCAUCAAAUUGAAACACGUUUGUGAAUGAAGGAACAAUCUCAAGAAAGUUCCUGCUGUGGCACAAUGCGUUGAUGAUAUGGCGUUGUCUUUUAGGUGGCACAAGUUCAACCCCCUGGAUCUCUAAAACAUUAUCCUAAGUGGAAGAAGCCAGACACAAAAGGUGCCCCAUACCAUAGGGUUAUAGCAAUAGGACAUGAAGAGUGAUAGGUGCCAGAUUGGGGGUAGGGGGAGUGGAGAAUGGAAAGUGAAUGCUUAAUGGGUGUGGGGUUUCUUUUGGGGUGAUGAAGAUGCCCUGGAACUAGAUGGUGGUGGUGGUGCACAGCACAAUAAAGGUAGUUUAUGCCACUGAUUGUAUAGUUAAAUAUGUUUAAAGAGAUAAACUUUAUUUUGCAUCAAAGUUAACCCAUAAAAUAGAGGCAACCAUAAAAUAUAUGAAAAAAAAAAAAACCCCAGAAAAACAGGAAAAGGAUGCCUUCACAGGUGAGGAUGGGAAGACUGGUUCUGGAGCUGCUAUAGCGGUGUUUCACGAGCAGCUGCUGGAGGUGGGUUCAGAGCUUCUUGUCAGUGCUGAUGGUAACUAACAGGCUGAAGCUCGAGAGCUGGUGCUCGUGUUGAUGCCUGCUCUGUAGCCUGCAUCAGCUAGCUCCGCAGCGGGUUCCAGAGCUGGCUCCAGGGCAAGAGGUGGGGUGAGCCUAGAUUCUAGCUGGAGUUGAUUCUGGUUCUGAGACUUACUCUGGUUCUUUCUCUGGAGUUGGUGUUGGAGCAGCUCCUGGCUCUAGAGCUGGCGAUAGGCGCUGACAGCAGAGUUGGUUAUAGAGCCGUCCCUGUCUCUGGAUGCUGGCGGUGGUGGUGCUUGAGCUGCUUCUACCGUUGGUGUUGGAGGUAGAGCUCUUGUGGCAGCUGACGUUGGUUCUGGGCUUGCACAGGCUCUGUUGCGGAGCUAGUGUUAGAGCUGGUUUUAAUUCUAGGUCUGGUGCUAGAACUAUCACUGGAGUUUUCACAGAAGUUGGCAGGAGUAGUGCUAGAGCUGGUCCUCGAAUUGGCUCUCGUUCUCAGGCUGACGCUAAUUCUCUGGCAUUGUUUCCAGAUUUGGUGCAAGAACCAGCAACUGUAAAGGCUUUCACGGUGGAGCUGGUCCAGGUGUCUGGUGGCGGGGGGCUUUAGUUCUGUAGUUGAUGCCAGACCUGACUUUCAUCCACAGUUGGUGCAAACUGUGGUGCUUUUGGUGGCUCUGGCUUUGUAGGUCAGAGUAACUCUAGCUUUGCUCUAGUUACAUAGAUGGCAGGGAAUCCUGUGAUGGUUCUAGCUCUCCUCCUGGACCAGGUACAGAAGCUGGCUAUGUCUCCAGGUUGCUGCUCUAACUGCUUGUGUAGUAGGCGCCAGCUCUGGGGCUGCAGCUGAAGGUGGCACUACAGCCAAUGUUAGACAUGCUCUAGCCCCAGGGCUGCUUUCAGUUCCGUAGCUGUGUCUGCAGAAUUGUACUAGCCUAGUGCUGGAGCCGGAUGAGCGCUAGAUCUUGACGUGGUACUGACUCAACAGGAGCGGGAAAUCUCGCCAACCUGCCCUUCCAUGUGACUUGCCUGAAACAGGAAAAGAGCACAGCCUUUCGCAGUCGUGCCGGAGCUGCUUGUAGAAUUGGCUCUAAUACUGGGGCUGGCUCUAACUCUGGGAAUGAUGCCAGAGCUGGUGGCAGAAAUGGUCUUAGCUGUGGGGUUCAAGCUGGAGCUCGCUUUAACGCCGGAGCUGGUGGAAGCAACGCAAUGUCCACCAUGUUGAGUGGGUAGACAAUACGUGGUAUUAUUGACCUAUAAAAAGGAAGGAAAUCCUGACAGAUGCACCCAUGGGGGCAUUUUGCUAAAUGAAAUAAGCCCAUGCCUUGAAGACAGGGUGUGACUUCAGUUCCAGGUUGUGUGGAAAGUAGUCUUGCUUUUGGAAAUGGGCGCUAGAGUGGUGGUUCCUGGCAGGCUGGGGGCAGGAGUAAAGGUGGCCUGAUGCUUAGGGUACCGAGCUUCAGGUUUGCAAGAUUCAGUACUCUGGAGAUUUGUUUUACAACAAUGUAAAUACACAUAAAACUAUGGAACUGUCAGUUCCCAUCGUGGUGCAGCGGAAACGAAUCUGACUGGCAUCCAUGAGGAUGCAGGUUCAAUCCCUGGCCUCACUCAGUGGGUUAAGGAUCUGGCAUUGCCAUGAGCUAUGGUGUAGGUCCCAGAUGUGGCUGGGAUCUGGCGUUGCUGUGGCUGUGGCAUAUUGAACUGUACAAUUAAAAUCGUUAAAAUGGUAAAUUAAGUGUUAUGAUUUUUGUCACAAUAAAAAAGAGUACAUGAUAUUUGA